AUCCAGUUGACUAGUUCCAAAUAGGAUGAAACGUACGUCCUGGAU
rnacentral:hammerhead_ribozyme from 1 species